CCAGUAUUGCCUGUGCUGCUCCA
rnacentral:miRNA from 1 species